rnacentral:tRNA from 1 species
GCCGAAGUGGCGGAAUUGGUAGACGCGCUAGAUUCAGGGUCUAGUGGACAUCACGUUCGUAGGAGUUCGAGCCUCCUCUUCGGCACCA